AUUGAACGCUGGCGGCAUGCUUUACACAUGCAAGUCGAACGGCAGCGCGGGCUUCGGCCUGGCGGCGAGUGGCGAACGGGUGAGUAAUGCAUCUGAACGUGCCCCGUCGUGGGGGAUAGCCCGGCGAAAGCCGGAUUAAUACCGCAUACGACCUGAGGGUGAAAGCGGGGGACCGAAAGGCCUCGCGCUAUUGGAGCGGCCGAUGUCGGAUUAGCUAGUUGGUGGGGUAAAGGCUUACCAAGGCGACGAUCCGUAGCUGGUCUGAGAGGACGACCAGCCACACUGGGACUGAGACACGGCCCAGACUCCUACGGGAGGCAGCAGUGGGGAAUUUUGGACAAUGGGGGCAACCCUGAUCCAGCCAUGCCGCGUGCGGGAAGAAGGCCUUCGGGUUGUAAACCGCUUUUGUUCGGGAAGAAAUCCUCUGGGCUAAUACCCCGGGGGGAUGACGGUACCGGAAGAAUAAGCACCGGCUAACUACGUG
rnacentral:rRNA from 1 species